GAUGAACGCUGGCGGCGUGCCUAGUACAUGCAAGUCGAGCGAACGGACGAGAAGCUUGCUUCUCUGAUGUUAGCGGCGGACGGGUGAGUAACACGUGGAUAACCUACCUAUAAGACUGGGAUAACUUCGGGAAACCGGAGCUAAUACCGGAUAAUAUUUUGAACCGCAUGGUUCAAAAGUGAAAGACGGUCUUGCUGUCACUUAUAGAUGGAUCCGCGCUGCAUCAGCUAGUUGGUAAGGUAACGGCUUACCAAGGCAACGAUGCAUAGCCGACCUGAGAGGGUGAUCGGCCACACUGGAACUGAGACACGGUCCAGACUCCUACGGGAGGCAGCAGUAGGGAAUCUUCCGCAAUGGGCGAAAGCCUGACGGAGCAACGCCGCGUGAGUGAUGAAGGUCUUCGGAUCGUAAAACUCUGUUAUUAGGGAAGAACAUAUGUGUAAGUAACUGUGCACAUCUUGACGGUACCUAAUCAGAAAGCCACGGCUAACUACGUG
rnacentral:rRNA from 1 species